rnacentral:rRNA from 1 species
AGAGUUUGAUCAUGGCUCAGGACGAACGCUGGCGGCAUGCCUAACACAUGCAAGUCUAGGGGUAGCAAUACCACUGGCGCACGGGUGAGUAACACGUAGGUUAUCUGCCCCCAUCACAGUGACAACCUCGGGAAACCGAGGCUAAACACUGAUGAGGACGAGAGUUCAAAGCUUCGGCGGAUGGGGAUGAGCCUGCGGCUGAUUAGCUAGUUGGUGAGGUAAUGGCUCACCAAGGCGACGAUCAGUAGCUGGUCUGAGAGGACGAACAGCCACACUGGAACUGAGACACGGUCCAGACUCCUACGGGAGGCAGCAGUGAGGAAUAUUGGUCAAUGGGCGCAAGCCUGAACCAGCAAUGCCGCGUGUGGGACGACUGGGCUUCGCCUUGUAAACCACUGUCGGAUGGGACGAAAAGAGGUAAGAACCUCCGGGACGGUACCAUCAAAGGAAGGGUCGGCUAACUACGUGCCAGCAGCCGCGGUAAUACGUAGGACCCAAGCGUUGUCCGGAUUUACUGGGUAUAAAGGGUGCGUAGGCGGUCUUGUGCGUCAGAGGUGAAAUAUCCGGGCUUAACCCGGAGGGUGCCUUUGAUACGGCAGGACUUGAGUGCGAGAGAGGAUGAUGGAAUUCCUGGUGUAGCGGUGAAAUGCGUAGAUAUCAGGAGGAACACCGGUGGC